CUGUGGUUUUUUUCCACUGCAUCAUGUAACAUUAUGUUUGUUUCCGCUUUCCUUUUUUUUGCUUUAUGUUGCUUUUGGUUGCUUCUCGUUUUUCAUUCUCAAUCUUAUGAGAUUUGCAGUCAGGUUUACAAGUAUUUUAACAAGUUUUUUUGUAGUUAUCCUGACAACCUUUCUGCAUAAUUUCCUCUAGUUUUCUGUAACAGAAGUUGCUAAUGUUUUUGCAUAAACCACAACUUUCUAAGAUCAUAAACUCACCCAUCAUUUGUAUGAUAUGAGCUACUUAAUGCUUUAUAGGUUUUUUAGUUCCACCUCUCCAGAGCCCUUUAACCUUUAACCUUUAAUAACUUUGAUUCACAGCUGCUUAUCUUCACAUUGAUCCUAGCUCAUUCUCAACAUCUGGCAACAUAUUUUUUACGUGUGUUAUGAUGUGGUUAUAUGCGUAUACAUCCUCAGUAUGCCCCUUAAUUCAUAUAUCAUCAUAUGUUUUCUUCAGAUAUUGCUUGAAGAUAUGAAGAUAUCAGAACAACUGAUUGACCUGGUCUUUUAUCUGUUGUUUGUAGAUAUGUACUUACUUCUUCGUAUCCAGGAAUCUCACACCAUUCCCAAUGACAUGGUUCUUCUUCAUGCGGCUCUCGUAGCUUGCAGUCUACAAUUGUUGACAGUCAUUGUUUCUCCACAUUACCAAGAGGUUGCUCAAGCAUUGACUGCGUAUUACAAGGUGUAUAUAUUCAAAGAGGCAGCAUUUGCUGCUGUUUGUGUAGAUGUCAAGUAUCUGCAGACCAACGAUUCAUCUAGAAGUGCAUACCCUACUACUGAAGAGACCUUGAAUCAUCUCUGGCAGCAGUGUGAUUCUUCUCUUCAAUUUCUACAGCCCCUGUGUCAGCAAAAGUUGUUCCGGGAAUGCAUUGUUAACAACCAGGUUAUUUAUAAGUCAAUUUGAGUCCCGAAUCGUUCGUUCUGCAUCGGAAGAUCAUUUAGUCCAUGUAAAACCUCUCUGGCUUAACCUAGCUUAACCUAUGGAAAUCAGUCAUCCUUUUCCAUAAAAUGAGCUUGGGAAGGGGUGGACUGCAGAGCAACUAGCUUCCUGUGUUGGACUCGGCCCUGAUGAAAAAAGGAGUAGCUCUACUUCUCAUCUUUGUAGUCCUGGUCUUUGAGGAUUCUGGUAACUCUACUUCUCAUCUUUUUCGGGUGUUAUUCAAACCCGUAUAUACUCAACUUGAGAUGUUUCCUACUUAUACAUGAGUGUCUAGCUGCUAUUUUUUCUCAUUCAUGCCUGAUAUGUUGAAUUUUAUAGAGAAUUUAAAUGUUAAUUGACAAGUUAUGAUUAAGAGUAAAUUUUCGAGAGGUUGUCUGUCACGGCUCUCUAAUAUGUGCAUCUCCCUAGUUUUUAAUGAUUUCAUACACAUCACCAGUUGAUAAACAAAGGAUAUUAGCUUCAUAAAUAUCCAAAAUUUGCCCUAGUACUAUGCUACUUUGUAGUGAGAACGAAAAGCUUCCACGAACAGUGUUUCACCACUUGCUAUUUGUGUGUGCAAGCAAGAUUUUCUCUCCAUUGAUUGUCACUACUUUCACCACUUUUUUUGGGUUAUUAGUGUAGAGUUCGUUUCUCUCGAGGGUUGGUCCGUAAACUUGUUGUUGCUUACUAACUUCUGGAGAACUAGGUUUCCCGUGCUUCAAAUACAGUGACAAUAGUGUUCUUUGGUGCCCGAUUUCUUGAGCUAAGGAGAGAGAACUAUUCCGGUUUUGAAAAAUUAAUUGAAAAAGCCAUAGGGUCGAUCAACUGAAUGAGAGCUUUAUGAGUUGCAAUCUUGUUGAUAUUGGUGCAUAAAAAUGAUUUAGGCAAUAGGACUAAAAGCCUCAUAUCCAAAUUAUCACAUGCCUAACCCUACAUAAACCACUAGUGAGCCGGUUUGAGCCCCAAAAGCCUAAUUUCUUUGUUGAAAAUUUUGAAGUCACUAUAUUAGCCUACUUAUUAUAUCCGUUUGUUGGCCUAUAUUUUCUACCCUAGUCACUAAAAUUAAAGUGCUAGCACUUUCUUGGGAGGGUAUUUAUGGUGGUAAGGAAAAGUUGGAAGUCCUGGAACAUUCAUUAGGUUGUAUUCAUUUAUAUUGAGAUACAAAUGAAAAAAGUUGUCUCUUCAAACAAAAGUAAAAUAAAAAGGCUGCCUUUAAUGUGUAAAAAAAAGCCAAGGCUUGAAAAAAUAAAAAAUAAAAAGGCAGCCUUUCAUGUGUAAAAAAAAG